GCACCAUUAGCUCAGCUGGCAGAGCAACUGACUCUUAAUCAGUGGGUCCGGGGUUCGAAUCCCCGAUGGUGUACCA
rnacentral:tRNA from 1 species